rnacentral:rRNA from 1 species
AGUGAACGCUGGCGGUAGGCCUAACACAUGCAAGUCGAACGGCAGCACAGUAAGAGCUUGCUCUUACGGGUGGCGAGUGGCGGACGGGUGAGGAAUACAUCGGAAUCUACUUUUUCGUGGGGGAUAACGUAGGGAAACUUACGCUAAUACCGCGUACGACCUACGGGUGAAAGCAGGGGAUCUUCGGACCUUGCGCGAUUGAAUGAGCCGAUGUCGGAUUAGCUAGUUGGCGGGGUAAAGGCCCAUCAAGGCGACGAUCCGUAGCUGGUCUGAGAGGAUGAUCAGCCACACUGGAACUGAGACACGGUCCAGACUCCUACGGGAGGCAGCAGUGGGGAAUAUUGGACAAUGGGCGCAAGCCUGAUCCAGCCAUACCGCGUGGGUGAAGAAGGCCUUCGGGUUGUAAAGCCCUUUUGUUGGGAAAGAAAAGCAGCAGGUUAAUACCCCGCUGUUCUGACGGUACCCAAAGAAUAAGCACCGGCUAACUUCGUG